ACGACACCGUAUCUUGAUACCAAUAAAAAAAUUUAGGUGUUGGACUCCCCUUCGGCUUCACAUGGCCAGCCCUAAUUUCUUAAUCCAAACCUAAUCACACACAAAUACACAAUCACGCUGCCUACAAUAGAUUUGGUCAUCUGCUGUGCUGCUUGCCGACAACAAAUUGCUGCUCUUCGUCUUCGUCUUCGUCUUCGUCCUCAUCCCCGAUCUCUAGCUUGCUGGCUAUUCCCAUUUCCUUUUGUUUCGCAACUUAAUGGUUGUUGCCGGUAGCCUGCUACCUUCUUCAACUCCGAGCUAUAGCUAAUGCCUUCUUAAUUUAGAUUUUCUUCAAGUUCGAGUUGCUGCUACUGUAUUCUUUUGUGAGAGGUAAGCUGAUGGGUUCUUUCAUUUGUACACUAGGGUUUGGGGUUCUCUGAUCAGAAUAUAUCGGCUGGUCUGGUGAUUGCUCAACCGCCGUCGAUUUUUGAGGUGCCGCCCAGGUUGAGCCCCGCAAUUCUACUUGACUCGCUAAAUUUCAGUUUGUUUUCGCCUACACAGGUAAUUCAAUUUAACUUUGUCUGACCUAAAGUUUCUUCAUUUAUUCAUUAGAUUUUAGCUUGUUUAGGAAAGCUUUCAUUUUUAUUGGGUUUCGCAUUUAAAUUCUAAUAAUCCUUGGGUUUGAAUUUUGAUUUUUUUUUUUUUGGAGGGAUGGAAAAUUUUCUUCAUUGCCUUGAUUUGUUAGCAGUCGGUUGGAAUUUUGAAUUAGAGCUUGCUGAAGCAUUUAUUAUAGAAUUUAUAAAUGUGCCCUGUAAUUGGGAUAAAAACUCUUGACUUAAUUAAUCUGACAGAAGAACAUUUUGAGCAAUGUUGUAAUGUGAUUGUGCAUUGCUGAGAUAAUCUCAUCUUGUUUUGGUAUUCUAACCAAUAAAAAAAAAUUUAAGUGUUGGACUCCCCUUCGGCUUCACAUGGCAAGCCCUAAUUUCUUAAUCCAAACCUAAUCACACACAAAUACACAAUCACGCUGCCUACAAUAGAUUUGGUCAUCUGCUGUGCUGCUUGCCGACAACAAAUUGCUGCUCUUCGUCUUCGUCUUCGUCUUCGUCCUCAUCCCCGAUCUCUAGCUUGCUGGCUAUUCCCAUUUCCUUUUGUUUCGCAACUUAAUGGUUGUUGCCGGUAGCCUGCUACCUUCUUCAACUCCGAGCUAUAGCUAAUGCCUUCUUAAUUUAGAUUUUCUUCAAGUUCGAGUUGCUGCUACUGUAUUCUUUUGUGAGAGGUAAGCUGAUGGGUUCUUUCAUUUGUACACUAGGGUUUGGGGUUCUCUGAUCAGAAUAUAUCGGCUGGUCUGGUGAUUGCUCAACCGCCGUCGAUUUUUGAGGUGCCGCCCAGGUUGAGCCCCGCAAUUCUGCUUGACUCGCUAAAUUUCAGUUUGUUUUCGCCUACACAGGUAAUUCAAUUUAACUUUGUCUGACCUAAAGUUUCUUCAUUUAUUCAUUAGAUUUUAGCUUGUUUAGGAAAGCUUUCAUUUUUAUUGGGUUUCGCAUUUAAAUGCUAAUAAUCCUUGGGUUUGAAUUUUGAUUUUUUUUUUUUUGGAGGGAUGGAAAAUUUUCUUCAUUGCCUUGAUUUGUUAGCAGUCGGUUGGAAUUUUGAAUUAGAGCUUGCUGAAGCAUUUAUUAUAGAAUUUAUAAAUGUGCCCUGUAAUUGGGAUAAAAACUCUUGACUUAAUUAAUCUGACAGAAGAACAUUUUGAGCAAUGUUGUAAUGUGAUUGUGCAUUGCUGAGAUAAUCUCAUCUUGUUUUGGUAUUCUAAGUAUCCAAAUGGACUGGAUAGUAGGCUAUCCAGGUCAAGUUUUAAUGGUAAUUGGGCAUUUUUCUUUCCUGAUUUUAGUUUCAUCUCUUUUUAGAUGAAGCAUAUGGUUAAUGCAAACAAUUAACGAAAGAAAAGCUCUUGGUAUUACUAGUGUUGGAGAUCCAAUUGUCUUCAUGUAAACUGUGAACACUUUUAACUCCCAUAUCUAAGAUAUAGAGAUCUUUAUGUAGCUUUAAGCCAAAUAUGUGAGAAAUUCUCCAAUCUAGUCACAACUUUAUUAGCAACCAAGAAUGAAAGAGUAUUAGCUUCCAGUUAUAAUUUGAUGACCGGAGCUUGAAUGAGUGAGUGAUAACUUGUAUUGUCUAUAUUGCUUUGUAUGUCAUGCCUCACUGGCAUUAUGUUACUUGGGUAUCCAAAUUUUGCGUUUAUCUAUUACUAAUUUCCCUGAUUCAUUGGAUGCAACCUAGGGAGCCUUUAGAAUGAAGCACUAGCAGGCCCUAGCACAGGUCACUGCCCAAGCUG
rnacentral:lncRNA from 1 species